UACUCGAGUGGCGAACGGGUGAGUAACACGUGGGUGAUCUGCCCUGCACCUCGGGAUAAGCCUGGGAAACUGGGUCUAAUACCGGAUAGGAGCCAUUUUUAGUGUGAUGGUUGGAAAGUUUUUUCGGUGUAGGAUGAGCUCGCGGCCUAUCAGCUUGUUGGUGGGGUAAUGGCCUACCAAGGCGGCGACGGGUAGCCGGCCUGAGAGGGUGGACGGCCACAUUGGGACUGAGAUACGGCCCAG
rnacentral:rRNA from 1 species